AUGCUUUCACAACUUGACUUUAAAAUAUUUGGUUUGGAGACCAUCAAAGAUCAAUAUGUGAAUGAUGCUGAAUUUAAAGAUGUAUUGCAGAAUUGUAAGGAAGGAAGAACUUGGAACAAGUUCAUUCUUAAUGAUGGAUUUGUGUUUCGUGCUAACAAGCUAUGCAUUCCAGCUAGCUCCGUUUGUCUUUUGUUGUUGCAGGAGGCGCAUGGAGGAGGACUAAUGGGACACUUUGGCGUCAAGAAGACGGAGGAUAUACUUGCUACACAUUUCUUUUGGCCAAAGAUGAGACGAGAUGUUGAGCGUUUUGUUGCUCGUUGCACUACAUGUCAAAAAGCUAAGUCACGACUCAAUCCUCAUGGUUUAUAUAUGCCUUUGCCUGUACCUAGUGUUCCUUGGGAGGAUAUAUCUAUGGACUUUGUUUUAGGUUUACCUCGAACAAAGAAGGGGACGGAUAGCAUAUUUGUUGUCGUGGAUAGGUUCUCGAAAAUGGCACACUUUAUACCAUGUCAUAAAAGCGAUGAUGUUGUUAAUGUUGAUGAUUUGUUCUUUCGUGAAAUUAUUCGCUUGCAUGGUGUGCCAAAUACUAUUGUUUCAGAUUGUGAUACUAAAUUUCUUAACCACUUUUGGAGAUAUUUAUGGGCUAAGUUGGGGACUAAACUGCUUUUUAGUACUACUUGUCACCCCCAAACUGAUGGACAAACUGAAGUAGUCAAUAUAACAUUGUCUACUAUGCUUAGGGAUGUUUUGAAGAAUAAUAAGAAAAUGUGGGAAGAAUGCUUGCCUCAUAUUGAAUUUGCUUAUAAUCGUUCAUUGCAUUCUACUACUAAGAUGUGCCCUUUUGAAAUUGUGUAUGGUUUCCUACCUCGUGCACCUAUUGAUUUGUUGCCUCUUCCAUCUUUGGAGAAGGUUAAUUUUGAUGCUAAAGAACGUGCUGAAUUGAUUUUAAAAAUGCAUGAGUUAACUAAGGAAAACAUUGAGCGUAUGAAUGCUAAAUAUAAACUUGUUGGAGAUAAGGGUAGAAAAUAUGUUGUGUUUGCACCUGGAGAUCUUGUUUGGUUACAUUUGCGUAAGGAUAGAUUUCCUAAUUUGCGCAAAUCAAAGCUAAUGGCACGUGUUGAUGGUCCUUUUAAGGUGUUAGAGAAAAUAAAUGAUAAUGCAUAUAAACUUGAGCUGCCUGUAGAUUUUGGGGUUAGUACCACUUUUAACAUUGCAGAUUUGAAGCCUUAUUUGGGUGAGGAAGAUGAGCUUUCGUCGAGGACGACUUCAUUUCAAGGAGGGGAGGAUGAUGAGGACAUCAGUACCAUUGUAACACCCACAUCCCCUACUGCUAUACAUACUGGACCAAUUACUAGAGCUCGCGCACGCCAAUUGAAUUAUCAGGUACUUUCGUUUCUUGGUAAUGAUUCUAAUGUUCAUGAGAAUAUGAUGCUGCCUAAACUGGAUACAUUUGUUUUGCUUACAAAUGAAGGGCCUACCUUGGACAAGAAAGAUGAACCUUGGAGCAAGUUCAAGCAUGGAGAUGAUGGCAUGCGCAAGGGGAUCAAGAACGAAGUUACAAGUGAUGAUUUCAGGACUUUGAAGCCACCAUAA
rnacentral:rRNA from 1 species